rnacentral:rRNA from 1 species
CAGUCGCCACGGUAAUACGAAGGGGGCUAGCGUUGCUCGGAAUGACUGGGCGUAAAGGGCGCGUAGGCGGUUUAUACAGUCAGAUGUGAAAUUCCUGGGCUCAACCUGGGGACUGCAUUUGAUACGUAUGGACUUGAGUGGAGAAGAGGGUCGUGGAAUUUCCAGUGUAGAGGUGAAAUUCGUAGAUAUUGGAAAGAACACCGGUGGCGAAGGCGGCGACCUGGUCUUUAACUGACGCUGAGGCGCGAAAGCGUGGGGAGCAAACAGGAUUAGAUACCCCUGUAGUCCCUGUCUCUUAUAC